AACGAACGCUGGCGGCAUGCCUAACACAUGCAAGUCGAACGAGACCUUCGGGUCUAGUGGCGCACGGGUGCGUAACGCGUGGGAACCUGCCCUUAGGUUCGGAAUAACUCCCCGAAAGGGGUUCUAAUACCGGAUAAUGUCUUCGGACCAAAGAUUUAUCGCCUUUGGAUGGGCCCGCGUUGGAUUAGCUAGUUGGUAGGGUAAAAGCCUACCAAGGCGACGAUCCAUAGCUGGUCUGAGAGGAUGAUCAGCCACACUGGGACUGAGACACGGCCCAGAAUCCUACGGGAGGCAGCAGUGGGGAAUAGUGGACAAUGGGCGAAAGCCUGAUCCAGCAAUGCCGCGUGAGUGAUGAAGGCCUUAGGGUUGUAAAGCUCUUUUACCCGGGAUGAUAAUGACAGUACCGGGAGAAUAAGCUCCGGCUAACUCCGUG
rnacentral:rRNA from 1 species